rnacentral:rRNA from 1 species
AGCAGCCGCGGUAAUUCCAGCUCCAAUAGCGUAUAUUAAAGUUGUUGCAGUUAAAAAGCUCGUAGUUGAAUUUCGGGGUUAGUAAGUUGGUCAUGCCUUCGGUAUGUACUGGCUUUACUGAUUCCUCCUUCUUGACGAACCGUGAUGUCAUUAAUUUGGUGUUGCGGGAAAUCAGGACUGUUACUUUGAAAAAAUUAGAGUGUUUAAAGCAGGCUAACGCUUGAAUACAUUAGCAUGGAAUAAUGAAAUAGGACGUUAAUCCUAUUUUGUUGGUUUCUAGGAUCGACGUAAUGAUUAAUAGGGAUAGUUGGGGGCAUUAGUAUUCAAUUGUCAGAGGUGAAAUUCUUGGAUUUAUUGAAGACUAACUACCGCGAAAGCAUUUGCCAAGGAUGUUUUCAUUAAUCAAGAACGAAAGUUAGGGGAUCGAAGACGAUCAGAUACCGUCGUAGUCUUAACCAUAAACUAUGCCGACUAGGGAUCGGAUGAUGUUAUUUUUAAUGACUCA